CGCGCAGACCGCCUUAUCGUCGUCCGCCUCGGCGGAGGGAGGAAAGUCCGGACACCACAGAGAAGCAUAGCGGGUAACACCCGUCGGUCUUAGCAAUAAGGCAAGGACAAGUGCAACAGAAAGUAUGUACAGGUAAUGCUGUAGUGAAACCAGGUAAACUCUAUGCGGUGAAAUACCAAGUAUAUCAGCAUUUAAGGGCUUCUCGUUCGUUGCUGAAGGGUAGGUAGCUCGAGCUUAUGAGUAAUUGUAAGCCUAGAUAAAUGAUAAGGCUCUGAUUUAUCAGAGACAGAAUCCGGCUUAUAGGUCUGCAUUUUUU
rnacentral:RNase_P_RNA from 1 species